GUCUUGAUGACGAGUUUGAAAUAGGACGAAACGUAUGUUCUAGAU
rnacentral:hammerhead_ribozyme from 1 species